GGUAGGUUGGCCGAGGGAUAGGCGGCGGAUUGUAGCUCCGAUUACAGAGGUUCAAGUCCUCUUUCUACCA
rnacentral:tRNA from 1 species